rnacentral:rRNA from 1 species
AGAGUUUGAUCCUGGCUCAGAUCAAACGCUGCGGCGCGCUUAACACAUGCAAGUCGAACGAGAAAAGGGGAGCAAUCCCUGAGUAAAGUGGCGUACGGGUGAGUAACACGUGGGUAAUCUACCUCUGGGUGGGGAAUAACCCUGGGAAACCGGGGCUAAUACCGCAUAACACUGUAAGGUCAAAGGCGCAAGUCGCCUGGAGAGGAGCCCGCGGCUGAUUAGCUAGUUGGUGAGGUAAAGGCUCACCAAGGCAAUGAUCGGUAGCCGGCCUGAGAGGGCACACGGCCACACUGGCACUGAAACACGGGCCAGACUCCUACGGGAGGCAGCAGUGGGGAAUCUUGCACAAUGGGGGAAACCCUGAUGCAGCGACGCCGCGUGAGCGAUGAAGCCCUCGGGGUGUAAAGCUCUUUCGGCAGGGACGAUAAUGACGGUACCUGAAGAAGAAGCUGCGGCUAACUACGUGCCAGCAGCCGCGGUAAUACGUAGGCAGCGAGCGUUGUUCGGAGUUACUGGGCGUAAAGAGUGCGUAGGCGGUUUUCUAAGUUUGGUGUGAAAUCUCCCGGCUUAACUGGGAGGGUGCGCCGAAGACUGGAAGGCUUGAGUAUGGGAGAGGUAAGCGGAAUUCCUGGUGUAGCGGUGAAAUGCGUAGAUAUCAGGAGGAACACCUGCGGUGUAGACGGCUUACUGGACCAUAACUGACGCUGAGGCACGAAAGCGUGGGUAGCAAACAGGAUUAGAUACCCCGGUAGUCCACGCCCUAAACGAUGCAUACUUGGUGUGGGUAGUUCAUUCUAUCCGUGCCGGAGCUAACGCGUUAGGUAUGCCGCCUGGGGAGUACGGUCGCAAGGCUGAAACUCAAAUGAAUUGACGG